rnacentral:rRNA from 1 species
GUCUCGCCUGCCCACUGAAUUUUUAAAGGGCCGCGGUAUUUUGACCGUGCAAAGGUAGCAUAAUCAUUAGUCUUUUAAUUAAGGACUGGGAUGAAAGGUGAAACGAAGUACAAGCUGUCUCCAUAAAUAAAAAGAAUUUAACUUUUUAGUUAAAAGGCUAAAAUAGUGUUAAAGGACGAGAAGACCCUAUAGAACUUUAUAAAUAAUAAGUAAAAUUUUUAGGAGAGGUAUCAUUUUUAUUUAAACUUUAUUGUGUUGGGGUGACAAAAUAAUAAAAUAACUUAUUUUAAAUUUAACAUAGAUAAAUGACUAAAGGAUCCAUUAAGUAUGAAUAAAAAAUUAAGUUACCUUAGGGAUAACAGCGUAAUCUUUUUAGAGAGUUCAAAUCGAUAAAAGGGGUUGCGACCUCGAUGUUGGAUUAAAGGUAAUUUUAGGUGUAGCCGUUUAAAAUUAUGGUCUGUUCGAC